UACAGAGGUCUCAAGCGUUGUUCGGAUUCAUUGGGCGUAAAGGGUGCGUAGGUGGCGCGGUAAGUCGGGUGUGAAAUCUCGGAGCUUAACUCCGAAAUUGCAUUCGAUACUGCCGUGCUUGAGGACUGGAGAGGAGACUGGAAUUCCCGGUGUAGCGGUGAAAUGCGUAGAGAUCGGGAGGAACACCAGAGGCGAAGGCGGCGACCUGGACAGGCACUGACACUCAACUACGAAAGCGUGGGGAGCAAACAGG
rnacentral:rRNA from 1 species